UACAGAGGUCUCAAGCGUUGUUCGGAUUCAUUGGGCGUAAAGGGUGCGUAGGCGGCGUGGUAACGUCGGGUGUGAAAUCUCGGAGCUUAACUCCGAAACUGCAUUCGGAUACUGCCGGUGCUUGAGGACUGGAGAGGAGACUGGAAUUUACGGUGUAGCGGUGAAAUGCGUAGAUAUCGUAAGGAAGACCGUGGCGAAGGCGG
rnacentral:rRNA from 1 species